GCGGGGGUGGCGGAAUGGCAGACGCGCUGGACUUAGGAUCCAGUGGGGCAACCCGUGCGGGUUCGAGUCCCGCCCUCCGCACCA
rnacentral:tRNA from 1 species